AGGGAGGAUCAGGGGGUUGUUGCGUGGCUGUGGUUGAAAUGGGGUGAGAAGGUCCGGGCCGGAUGGAGAGAGGGGGAGUUGGGCAGGUCUGGCCGUGGGCAGAAUGAGCAGUGGAUGGUGAGAGAGGAGAGGGAGAGAAGCUGCUGCUUCUGAGAGAAGCGAUCAGUGAGGAGGGAAAGGCUUGGAGAAGGUAUAAAAAUUACGGGCCGGUCGGUUGGUUGGAAAAUGAAAAUAAGUGGAAGCUGCAGGCAGGGAUAAAUUGGCGUUUGGGUGUAACGUUGAACUGCAACCACGAGCGCACUGGGGUUUUAAUCUGCCACGUGGAUGCUUUUAUUUCAUGGAGAAGUUUAAAACAUUUCAAGUAUAUGUUUAACCUACUAAGAGUAAAUUGUUCCUGCAAAUUGAAAUGCUGCCACAAAGUAGCUUUUGGUGCAGGGCCUGAAAUAAACAGCAGUAACUGACCAUUCACUGCUCUGCCAAUACAUGAGAGAAAAAUGCAGGAAUUAUUGGCCCAGAUCUUCUGGUCUCCAGAUCGUUGGGACCCCUUGGAAGUCCCAAUGCACUGUCUCUUGUGGGAACUGCCCAGGAAGUUUAAACUUCUGAUGGGUAAUUCUCCGAGUCCCUGGAACCCUCCGAGAAAGUCUCCAACUCUGAGUUAGAGUCGGAAACUUCAGAUGGUUCCUAUUCAUUUGCCUGAAUAGUUAUCCAGAAAAUGAUAGAAAAAUCCUAGUCUAACGCCUGGGUAACUAUUCAGCUGACCACCCACAACCCCCCCCCCCCAAAACAACUUCCGUCCCCGUCACCCCACACCCACUACCACUGCCACCACCUGGCUACUGCACGGAUUCCCUUUGCUGAUGUCUCCGAGGUUUCCUGCACUGACUGAGUUCUGCAGGAUCCUCCAUUUGAAGAUUGGCCCAAAAAACCAGAGGAAAGUGACAUUUGACCGCUAUGACAACACACAGUUUCAAAAACAGCAAACAAGAAUUUAACUUUGGACCAUGGAAGCUAACUGCCAACAAAAGCCAUAUUAUGAAAUCAAAGGAUAUUGAAAGGCUAGCUGAGGAAAUGAAGAUGCAUUCUCUUCCAGAGAUGUUGUUUGGUGAUAAUGUCUUAAAGGUGCAACAUGCUGGAGGAUUUGGAAUUUCAUUUAAUGCUACAGAUGCCUUAAGAACAGUGGAUAAUGGGCAUGGCACAGUGAAAGUGGCAUGUGCGGAGGCAUGGCAGGAGAGUAGGGCUGAUUCCGAACACUCAAAAGAAGUUGUUAAACCCUAUGACUGGACGUUUACUACAGACUAUAAAGGAACAUUACUUGGUGAUGAGUUAAAGUUAAAGGUUACUCCCACAACUGAACGUAUAGAUUUAGAGAAAUUGAAAACAAGAGAGCAGAUCAUGUACUUUGAAGAAGUUUUAUUGUUUGAAGAUGAACUUCAUGAUCAUGGCGUUUCCAUGCUCAGUGUAAAAGUGGUAUCACACCGUAGGAAGGAUGUGAAGGCAUUGGAGAGGGUACAAAAAACAAUUAUGAGAAUGGUGCCAGAGAGUGAUGCCAUCCAGUUUCUUUGUGCUGUUGCGAUUUUUCUUGAGAGUUGAUGGUGUACUCAUACGGACAAAUGACACUAGAGUUUAUCAUGAGGCUAACAAAAACUACCUUCUGUCUGAAUACAGCUCCCGAGAAAGUAAUGUGUCAGCUCUUCAGAACGUUCCACAGUAUCUUUUUACUGACCCGAAUGAAAUCUCAAAGUAUCUACCCCUGAAAAAGUUAAUCUGUGAGAAGUUGGAAUUCCCCGAGGAUGUGGACAACACCACAUUUGAAAAUAUGCAGAUCUGCGUUGCAGGCAGAGAAUCAAGACAGACGUGACAUUCUGCUACAGAAAGAGAAGAGUUGUGUGCUCUUUAUAAGGAAUAGACUAGUAUAAUCUUUUUGAUUUACUUUAGUAGCUGCCAGUAUACUUCUGAAGAACUACUGCAGUGAAUUUUGUCUUGUAAGAGCAGCAGCUAACAUCCUAAUAGCUGCAAAGGACUAUUUAUCAAAAACAAAAUUUAUUAUCUGGCUUGAUUUAAUGAUUCAGGCUUAGUUGUUACAGUAGAAGCCAAAGUAUUGUGAGCAGUGCAGCUUUCAAUCUGAUUUUUAUGUGCAAGUUAUUGGUGUUUCUAUUUUUUUUUGCUGAUGAAAUCUUGAAUCUAUUCAAGUUCUGAAACGACGGAUGGAAUUUUUAACUGGUUAUUUGUAAUUAAGGUGAAAAUUAGUAGAUAUACAACAGGUAGAUUGAAACAACACUAUUCAUAAUGUGCUGGUAGUACUGGAGUAUGUUUGGAACUGUACCAUGCAUUUGUACUUGUCUGUCACAAAUGCAAUCCCCUUGCAUAUCAGUAAAUUAUAGCAUUUGUCCACAUAAGCCAAUAUCACUUGCAGCCAUUUACUGCAAGUUACUUUUGUGCAGUUUUGUAUUGAUGACCAGUCAAUGUAAGCCAAUAAUGGAUAUCUUUAAAACAAUGAAACUGUGUAAACUAUAAAAUCUAAAUAAAGAUUGAUCUCUGAA